rnacentral:rRNA from 1 species
CUGCGCGGAAAAUUUAACGGGGCUAAGAUACAAACCGAAGCUUAGGCUGCACUUUUAGUGCGGGGUAGGGGAGCGUUGUGUAAGCGGAGAAACGAUAGCGUAAGCGGUCGUGGAGUUUACAGAAGUGAGAAUGCCGGAAUGAGUAGCGCGAAUGAUGUGAGAAUCAUCAUGGCCGGAAACCUCAGGUUUUUGGAGGAAGGUUCGUCCGCUCCAAGUUAGGCGGGAGCUAAGGUGAGGCCGAAAGGCGUAGCCGAUGCACAGACGGUAGAGAUUCCGUCCCCACCGAAAGAUUUAAGCGCAGGGACACUUUUAGAAGGUCGGAGCCAGGUGUUGGUUCUGGUAGAGAUCGAGGGAAGAUUAGUACCGAAGUCCGGCUGGAUAAGAGGCGAGAAAAGCUGCGUGUAUAUCUAAGGUGCCCGUACCGCAAACCGACACAGGUAGGUAGGAAGAAGAUUCUAAGGCCAACGGGAGAAGGGUUGUUAAGGAACUCGGCAAGUUGACCCCGUAACUUCGGAAUAAGGGGUGCUCAUGAAAGUGAGCCGCAGAGAAUAGGCCCAGGCAACUGUUUACCAAAAACACAGGUUUGUGCUAAAUCGAAAGAUGACGUAUACGAGCUGACGCCUGCCCGGUGCUGGAAGGUUAAAAGGAGAUGUGCAAGCAUUGAAUUGAAGCCCCAGUGAACGGCGGCCGUAACUAUAACGGUCCUAAGGUAGCGAAAUUCCUUGUCAGGUAAGUUCUGACCCGCAUGAAAGGCGUAAUGAUUUGGGCACUGUCUCAACAGCCCGCCCGGCGAAAUUGUAGUACCGGUGAAGAUGCCGGUUACCCGCGACAAGACGGAAAGACCCCAUGGAGCUUUACUGUAGCCUAAUAUUGGGUUUCGGUGUUGCAUGCACAGGAUAGAUGGGACGCUGGGAAGUGAGUGCUUUGGCAUUCAUGGAGCGGCCGUUGGGAUACCAUCCUUGCGACAUUGGAAUUCUAACCUGCGCCUUUGAAUCAAGGCGGGGGACAUUGUUAGGUGGGCAGUUUGACUGGGGCGGUCGCCUCCUAAAGAGUAGCGGAGGCGUUCAAAGGUUGGCUCGUCCUGGACGGAAACCAGGAGAGAGAGUGCAAACGCAAAAGCCAGCCUGACUGCGAGACUGACGGGUCGAGCAGAGACGAAAGUCGGAGUUAGUGAUCCGGUGGUAUGUGAGUGG